AGUGAACGCUGGCGGUAUGCCUAACACAUGCAAGUCGAACGGCAGCACAGUAAGAGCUUGCUCUUACGGUUGGCGAGUGGCGGACGGGUGAGGAAUACAUCGGAAUCUACUUUUUCGUGGGGGAUAACGUAGGGAAACUUACGCUAAUACCUCAUACUACCUACGGGUGAAAGCAGGGGAUCUUCGGACCUUGCGCGAUUGAAUGAGCCGAUGUCGGAUUAGCUAGUUGGCGGGGUAAAGGCCCACCAAGGCGACGAUCCGUAGCUGGUCUGAGAGGAUGAUCAGCCACACUGGAACUGAGACACGGUCCAGACUCCUACGGGAGGCAGCAGUGGGGAAUAUUGGACAAUGGGCGAAAGCCUGAUCCAGCCAUACCGCGUGGGUGAAGAAGGCCUUCGGGUUGUAAAGCCCUUUUGUUGGGAAAGAAAAGCAGCAGGUUAAUACCCCGCUGUUCUGACGGUACCCAAAGAAUAAGCACCGGCUAACUUCGUG
rnacentral:rRNA from 1 species